UACAGAGGGUGCAAACGUUGUUCGGAAUUACUGGGCGUAAAGCGCGUGUAGGCGGCAGGGUAUGUCGGAUGUGAAAUCCCGUGGCUCAACCACGGAAGUGCACCCGAAACUACCCAGCUGGAGUCUCGGAGAGGAAGGCGGAAUGCUUGGUGUAGAGGUGAAAUUCGUAGAUAUCAAGCGGAACACCGGUGGCGAAGGCGGCCUUCUGGACGAUGACUGACGCUGAGACGCGAAAGCGUGGGGAGCAAACAGG
rnacentral:rRNA from 1 species